AUAAGAGGACUCAUUACCAGCUGUCUUUUUGCAGAUUAACAAAAAAUCUUGAUAAUGGCUUCUUUGGGAAUGAUGCCAACUAAAUUGUUAUUAAGUCCAGAGGAAAUCAAUGCUGAUAUAAAAUGUGAAUUAAAGAAGUAAAUUCAGCAACCUGAACAAAGUUUUCAGGAAAUGAUGACUGAUGAACCAAAGUAGUUUGCUGUAGAGCCUAAAACACUAAAGAAACACCAUGGAGAACCCAGGAGUCCUUCCUCAUCUAAGAGGUCAAGUGUGGCAUUGCCGUCAAUGAAACAAACAAGAGAUGGAGAAUCCCAUCUUGGGGCCUCAUCUGUGUCCAUGAAGAUGAUGACCAAAAAGCCAUCGCAAUGUCUCCACUUGGAAUGAUGCCCCCCAAACCACCAUUAUGUCUAGAGGAAACCAGUGUUGAUAUAAAACAUCAAUUAAGGAAGGAAAUUCGACAGUUUGGAUGAAGUAUGUUGUAUAACAGUUUCUAUCAUACCAUUGG
rnacentral:lncRNA from 1 species